GCCCAGGCUGGUGUGCUCUUCCUGCUCCUCGUUCUCGGUGUCACAUUCCACGUCACUGUCGCUACUCAUUCCUGCCAAUGUUGUCUUAAGUACUG